rnacentral:rRNA from 1 species
UAGGGAAUUUUCCGCAAUGGGCGAAAGCCUGACGGAGCAACGCCGCGUGAGCGAGGACGGCCUUCGGGUUGUAAAGCUCUGUUCUUCGGGAAGAAUGGCGGAAGGGCGAACAACCCUUUCGUUUGACGGUACCGAAGGAGAAAGCCCCGGCUAACUACGUGCCAGCAGCCGCGGUAAUACGUAGGGGGCGAGCGUUGUCCGGAAUUAUUGGGCGUAAAGCGCGCGCAGGCGGCCGGUUAAGUCAGAUGUGAAAGGCUGCGGCUCAACCGCAGAGCGGCAUCUGAAACUGGCCGGCUUGAGUGCAGGAGAGGGGAGCGGAAUUCCCGGUGUAGCGGUGGAAUGCGUAGAGAUCGGGAGGAACACCAGUGGCGAAGGCGGCUCUCUGGCCUGUAACUGACGCUGAGGCGCGAAAGCGUGGGGAGCGAACA